CCUCCAUAGGCGUGGUUUUGACAGCUCCGGCCAGGCCCAAGGAGAGGGGGUGGACAAGAAGGUGUCGGAAGCAUUAGCAGCAAGAAAACAUGUCAACAGAAUAAAAUAUUAACCAAUGACAGAAAAGCAGGGGAACUCCCUCCCACACGUCGGAGCCGGGCGGGUCAGCGCUCAUUCCUCAGCCGCUGCACGGACACACCAAGUCGAUUAGCUUCUCGCUUUAUAAUCACGACGAGACGAUGCCAGCCUUGUCAGAGCCACCAAAUUCACUUCCGAUGCACUGGAAUCCAGGAAUUACGAUUACUGAGGUUAAUUGUUGCGCUCUCUAGUAUUCAACCUAAUCAAUAAAAUGGGUGCUAAAUACUAAAAUAACGCGACUCUAGUGAUAGACUAACAUGUAGCCUACUGCUUCCAUCGGAGGAAAGCACAUUUCCCAUCGGGCGCACGUGUUUACAAACAUGUACAAUUAUUUGGGCGUUAGAGCUAAACUAAUCUAGUCUGUUUGCGAUCCCAAAACAAGACCAAUAAAAUGCUACAGAAUAAAAAAAAACAGCUUGAUCCGUAGGCUAUUAAUUGAUGUAGUCGCACAGGUAAAAUAGGAAACGACCCGUUUGAUGUGUUUAUUAUUAUAAUAUCUAUUUGAUCUCAUCACUAACCUGGCGAGAGAGGAGGCGACUUAUAAAGCGGACACUGGCACUUUAAAUGCAGCCCGGGUCACUGGAAAACACAAGCCUUUAUGCAAUACAAAGACAAGACGAACGGAAGGAAUAUGAAGACAGUGUAAAGAUAAGUUUGUCGUUGGAUUUGGCGGCAGUGCAGUGAUCUGUUCAUUAGGGCCUGUAAGCGCUCCUUUCUGCUGAAGUGUUUAUAGGCUAAAGGGAGCCGCUGACUCGCCCUGAUCAAUAGUCUAUGUUUGAUCUGUGGGCUUUAAACUGCGACACAUGACGAUUUCAAGUGGAAGGAGAUUAAGCACACAUGGGAACGAGAGAUGACAGUGGACCAGUGGAAAGGAGAGAGAAAUCCUGCCACCUCUCAACACCUGACCCGACAUGAUUCUGUGUGUGUGGAGUGUAGGACUCACUUCCAGGGAACUUCUCAGCCAUCAGUGAACUCAGCUAGCAGACGGCGUACAGAGAGGCUUGUACGUACGUGUGUGUGUGGGUUUGUUCCUGCAUGUCUGCUGCUCAUCUGUUCAGUGCACAACAGGACAUCUGCAGAAAGGAAAGAUUCAACUUGUUCCCUUGUGUCAUAUAUCUCAGAGUCCUUAUUGAUGUACAGGUGUAGAGGGUUUACAAGAAGGUUCUGGAAUCUUAUAAUUCACCGAAGCAGGGAGUUGAACAUAAAAUAAGCUUUUUAAAGAUAAGAUUGAGAUUUUUUUUUCUUAAUUUAGAAUUCAUCUUGUACGCCUUCAUCACCUUUCUAGGAAUUCUUUACACACGUUCGUAAAAUGUCUGACUUUUUUUAAAUGACUCAAUCAUGUUUAAAAUGUUUUCAUUUACUCAUUAUCUCACAGUAUAUAAGAGACCGUACAUAGUGAGCUUCUUUAGCCUGUAUGUACCAGAUGUUUGUGUUUAUGAGUGUUUAUAAUAAAGAUUACUCUUAUGGAGAAUUAUCGGCGUUGUCACUGGUUUUGUGUAUACGUGCAGGGUUAUUAGGUGAGGUUCUAAAGGAAAUGACGCGGUUUCUGACUAUAACAUUACUGACAAUAUUGUAAUUUGAACACAUUCCUGUAAAUCAAUACCAUGCAGAAGUCAAAAACAUGCCUCAUUCCUCCCUUGAUUGUUUAAACAGAAUUAGAUCACAAAGGAGUGCAACUUGAUUAGAGUGUUAAAAUAUCUCAUAACAACUGAAUGGAGAUUUUAGUUUUUUCUUUUGUUAAACGGUCAGUUAAUACUAAAACACACACACACACACACACAAAGAAGUAAAAGAAGCUAAAAUAAUUGUUCACCUGU